rnacentral:rRNA from 1 species
AUGCGCCACCUAGCGCAUAAUUUCAAAAAGAAGUUCAAAGGUAAAGUUUAUGAUGAGAACUUAUGGCCAGCAUCAUACACUUGCAGCAAAAGGAAGCAUGAACACCAUUUGAGAGUGUUGUAUUCUCAAAAUCCUCUUGUGAAGGAGUACAUGGAUGCACAUCAUGGCAAGGUGUGGUCAAGAAGCAAAUUCAACGAAAUCUGCAAAGUAGAUUAUGUGACCAGUAACCUUGCAGAAUGCUUCAAUUCAAAGUUCAAGUCAGUGAAAGGGCUCUUGUUGUGGCAAGCAUUUGACAAGAUGAGGCAGAUGAUCAUGAUAAAGAUGGCUCUUCGCAAAAGAAUUGCAGAAACACAAUAUGUUGGUCAUCAAAUGCUCCCAUCACUGACUAAGGCAUUGCACUUGAAGGCAAGAGGACUGAAGAUGAAAUGUAUUCGAUCUGGUACAUAUGAGGGAGAGGUUACCUAUACUGACACUAAAAAUAGGGUAUGGAGGUAUCUUGUGAACCUAAGUACUAGAGAAUGUACUUGUAGGCAAUGA